rnacentral:rRNA from 1 species
GUGGGGAAUCUUGCGCAAUGGGCGAAAGCCUGACGCAGCCAUGCCGCGUGAAUGAUGAAGGUCUUAGGAUUGUAAAAUUCUUUCACCGGGGACGAUAAUGACGGUACCCGGAGAAGAAGCUCCGGCUAACUUCGUGCCAGCAGCCGCGGUAAGACGAGGGAUCCUAGCGUUGCUCGGAAUCAUUGGGCGUAAAGAGGGCGUAGGUGGCUUGGUAAGUCAGGUGUGAAAGCCCAGGGCUCAACCCUGGAAGUGCAUUUGAUACUGCUGAGCUUGAGUGUCGGAGAGGUUACCGGAAUACCUGGUGUAGUGGUGAAAUACGUAGAUAUCAGGUGGAACACCGGAGGCGAAGGCGGGUAACUGGACGAACACUGACACUGAGGCCCGAAAGCGUGGGGAUCAAACAGGAUUAGAUACCCCAGUAGUCC